GGAGAGGUGGCCGAGCGGCUUAAGGCGCACGCUUGGAAAGCGUGUGUGCGUUAUGCGUACCGCGGGUUCGAAUCCCGCCCUCUCCGCCA
rnacentral:tRNA from 1 species